AGAAUGAAGAAGGUUUCCUGCAGGAGGGAAUGGUGAAUAAUACAGAUGUUCCUGUGGAUCCUGAGAAUGAGGCUUAUGAAAUGCCUCCAGAGGAAGAGUAUCAAGACUAUGAACGUGAAGCAUGAGAGUCCUUUCCUGUCUUUGUAUCACCUGAAAUCUACUAACUGCUAAAGAUGUCCCAUCCUGUACAAGUGCUGAGUUCCAAUGUGCCCAAUUGUGAAAUUUUUUUACAGUUUUUAUGGUGUAUUUUGAAGUCUUCCAUCAGCAGCGACUGGAGUAUCUGUGACUGCAUCCACCUUGUUUCAGCAUUUCC